GACGAACGCUGGCGGCGUGCUUAACACAUGCAAGUCGAACGGAAAGGCCUGCUUUCCCUUGUGGAUUGCGGGUGCUCGAGUGGCGAACGGGUGAGUAACACGUGAGUGAUCUGCCCCCACCUGGGGAAAAGCCCGGGAAACCGGGGUCAAUUUCCGAUAGGACUGCAGGGGGGUGCCCGUGGUGGGAAACCAUUUUCUAGUGGUUGGGGAUGAGCUCGCGGCCUAUCAGCUUGUUGGUGGGGGAAUGGCCUACCAAGGCGGCGACGGGUAGCCGGCCUGAGAGGGUGGACGGCCACAUUGGGACUGAGAUACGGCCCAGACUCCUACGGGAGGCAGCAGUGGGGAAUAUUGCACAAUGGGCGGAAGCCUGAUGCAGCGACGCCGCGUGGGGGAUGACGGCCUUCGGGUUGUAAACUCCUUUCGACCGCGAGGAAGCCGCCUGGUUGGAAGGGUGGUGACGGUAGUGGUAGAAGAAGCACCGGCUAACUACGUG
rnacentral:rRNA from 1 species